UGAAGUCCUAAUACUGGACUAAAUUUAUUUAUGGACUAGGCAUCCUCUCACUAUGGCAAUGUGGUGAAGUGGCCAGCAGCCCAGGACUACUCACUUUUUCCCUGCUUCCAGGAAGUAGCACAAUAAUUGUUAACAGACAUGGCUGUAGAAAGCUUUUCUUUUUUUAAAAUUUCUGUGACUAUAAUGAAUUGUAUGCCAAACAUAUACAUAUGUAUAACU
rnacentral:lncRNA from 1 species